AUUGAACGCUGGCGGCAUGCCUUACACAUGCAAGUCGAACGGUAACAGGUCUUCGGAUGCUGACGAGUGGCGAACGGGUGAGUAAUGCAUCGGAACGUGCCCAGUUGUGGGGAAUAACUGCUCGAAAGAGCAGCUAAUACCGCAUACGACCUGAGGGUGAAAGCGGGGGAUCGCAAGACCUCGCGCAAUUGGAGCGGCCGAUGUCAGAUUAGGUAGGUGGUGGGGUAAAGGCCUACCAAGCCGACGAGCUGUAGCUGGUCUGAGAGGACGACCAGCCACACUGGGGCUGAGACACGGCCCAGACUCCUACGGGAGUCAGCAGUGGGGAAUUUUGGACAAUGGGCGCAAGCCUGAUCCAGCAAUGCCGCGUGCAGGAAGAAGGCCUUCGGGUUGUAAACUGCUUUUGUCAGGGAAGAAAUCCUCUGGGUUAAUACCCCGGGGGGAUGACGGUACCUGAAGAAUAAGCACCGGCUAACUACGUGCCAGCAGCCGCUGUAAGAC
rnacentral:rRNA from 1 species